AAUAUGUAAAUUACACCUAACGUAAUAGCAAAAUCAACAUAAAAUAACAUCAUGUAAUUGUAAAUCGAACAUAAAAUUGUGGCUAUUAUGAUGCAGACUUUAAAAAUUGAUAUGAAUAAGCUGAAACAGAGAUUUACAUCAUACGAGACUGAAAGAUCAAUUUAUUUUGACUGAACAGUACGUUUCGUUUGAUGCACAUGUUUGGAGCGUUUGAUUAAAUUGCAUUUUCCUUGACAGUGUACAGACACUUUAAACGUCAGCCAUGUUUGAAGCGGAGAGAAAAAUUGCGGAGCAGCUCCGGUCUUGAAAUGCCCAGAUUCUGGCACCAAAAUAACCAGAUUCAGACAAAAGUGGGCAGAAUCUUCCAGCACCAACCGGUUCCCCAGCAGCCAGCAGGAAAAAGUGAAAACAAUAAUUGAGAUGGCAGAACUUUACCGAGGGUUUUUGCCGAGGGACCGACUUCUUGGCCACUUCCCUUAGGGCUGAUUUACCGCUGAACAUCCGGCCACAUCUGCUCAGGCGGGCAAGAACACUUGAGCGGCUGACGUCGAUUUGUUUCCUGGAACAGCUUCCGAAAAUUUUGCCGCGAGAAUUUGAGUUCGCUGUUUGGAGAAGGAGCACGGAGGUGUUCCCGCAAGCACUUCGCCGCCGCUCCGAGCAAGCUGAUCAUUGUUUUUUGAACCGAUCGGGCACAACUACAAGGCUCCAUCAACGGUUCCAAAUAAUUCGGAAGAUUGGAUGAAACGAGCAGCGAUCGACUUUACGGUGAUGCUAGUGUUUUGUGUUUAAUCUUGUGUGCUCAACGCUUUACGAAAGUGUAGCUAAUAAAAUGAUUUUAAACGAACAAUUUCGAUUUAUUUUUAUGAAAGGUUUCCAUCCCAAAUUAUUCUUUAUUUUAAAUACUACACCAACCAAAAUUUCCAGCACGCGUAAAAUUACAUUGCCAUCGUUCGUUGUUCAUGUCAUGUAAUUUUAAAAUCUGAUGUAAUUUUCUGUCUCAUCAGACGCUCCAGUUAUGUGCAUCGAUAAGACAGAA